rnacentral:piRNA from 1 species
UAAGCUAAACUUAAACGUUAAGCAAAAC